rnacentral:rRNA from 1 species
GCGGAGGCGCGGCUUUCAAGCUUGCUUUUGAAGAUGACGAGCGGCGGACGGGUGAGUAAUGCCUGGGAAUUUGCCCAUUUGUGGGGGAUAACAGUUGGAAACGACUGCUAAUACCGCAUACGCCCUACGGGGGAAAGCAGGGGACCUUCGGGCCUUGCGCUGAUGGAUAAGCCCAGGUGGGAUUAGCUAGUAGGUGAGGUAAAGGCUCACCUAGGCGACGAUCCCUAGCUGGUCUGAGAGGAUGAUCAGCCACACUGGGACUGAGACACGGCCCAGACUCCUACGGGAGGCAGCAGUGGGGAAUAUUGCACAAUGGGGGAAACCCUGAUGCAGCCAUGCCGCGUGUGUGAAGAAGGCCUUCGGGUUGUAAAGCACUUUCAGCGAGGAGGAAAGGUUAGUAGUUAAUACCUGCUAGCUGUGACGUUACUCGCAGAAGAAGCACCGGCUAACUCCGUGCCAGCAGCCGCGGUAA